rnacentral:rRNA from 1 species
GCACAAGCGGUGGAGCAUGUGGAUUAAUUCGAUGCAACGCGAAGAACCUUACCUGGGUUUGACAUGCACUAGGCGCUGCCAGAGAUGGUAGUUCCGCAAGGCUGGUGCACAGGUGGUGCAUGGCUGUCGUCAGCUCGUGUCGUGAGAUGUUGGGUUAAGUCCCGCAACGAGCGCAACCCUCGUUCCAUGUUGCCAGCGCGUAAUGGCGGGGACUCAUGGGAGACUGCCGGGGUCAACUCGGAGGAAGGUGGGGAUGAGGUCAAGUCAUCAUGCCCCUUAUGUCCAGGGCUUCACACAUGCUACAAUGGCCGGUACAGAGGGCUGCGAAUCCGCAAGGUGGAGCGAAUCUCACAAAGCCGGUCUCAGUUCGGAUCGGGGUCUGCAACUCGACCCCGUGAAGUCGGAGUCGCUAGUAAUCGCAGAUCAGCAACGCUGCGGUGAAUACGUUCCCGGGC